UGGGAUGUGACGGCUGUCUAAUGUUACUUAAUCGUAGCGGUCAGAGCGAGUAUUGCAGCCUCAUUAAAGAGGCGCCAGGUGGAAGAAGUCGGUUUGAUUAAUAACGACUAAAGUAUCACACAAGCAGAAGAAAACUCGGACACACGACGCUGGAAAACUUUCAGAACGACACGUCGUUGAAAAAGAGGCCAUGAAGUGAACCGUGACGCCAGCCUGCAUCUUUAUUCACUGAGACAAACAUUUGGAAAGUGGCAUUUAAACCAAACAAUUAAUGCUAAUGAAAAACUGGAGCUAGCGACGGGAGGAAACAACUUCUGUCAACAAACAACAACUUCGUCCUCAUGCCAGGAAAGAGGGAGGAAUUCGACGUUAAACAGGAAACCGAAGACGCCCAGAAGAUGCUGGACACCUGUCUCCGAGAUGUGAGUGCAGCUGUUUAGUUUCAGUGGAAACAAUCAGCUCUGCAGACCUUCACCCGUCUGUGGUGGAGACCAACCUGAAAUCAAUCUGCCUCUGAUGUGUCAUCGUCCCUGAAGACGUCAGAACAAAUACACUCUGGACUAAACUCUGAAUCUGUCACAGCUACAACAACCAACAACCAGCUUCACACGUUCAAAACUAGACACAACAUCAUCCAACACUUCUUUCCUAUAUUAUACACAUCUUCUAUUCUGUAAAGUUCAUGUAACUUAACAACCAAUCACAUUGCUCCAUUUACAUGAACAGACUUUAAACCAACACCACCAUGUUGUUGUUAGAGAACAGGAACAUUUUGUUGUUCUUUAACAGUAGAGGAGCAUGAAACUAAUAACCUACUGAGUCAGAAGUGACCUAUAUCUGAUGCUUGUACACAGUUAAACUUCUAACACACACACAGUUACACCUAGUAAACAAGUCAGGUCAUAAUAAUGGAUGAUGAGGAAUGAAGGGUUUAUAACAUACAUCUGAAUGUGUACUAUCUGAAAUCAUUACAUUUUAUUAUGUGAUUACUUUAUGAAGCUUUCACUGUAAUAAAAUCUUAAAUCUCAGGCCA